UACAUUAACCAAUUAAAAAAAAAACUAUAUUUUAUUUAUUUCAGGGGAAAUAACAAUUGGUUCCUCACUUACAUUGCUCUCACUGUACUAUUUAUCCAAGUGAAGAAAAUGAAUUGACCAUUGUCCAACAAAACGAUGCCAGAGUUAUCCAUAGAACAAAACUUGUGAUGGCGAAACAAAUUUCACCCAAGGCGCAAUGAUAACAAUUGGUAAUUCAAAUUAUUUGUGUUUCAAUUAUUCUGCCGAAGCUCAACUUAUACCUACGCUGUGUCAUGGGCACCAAACAACGAAUUUCAGUGCCGCGUCGCAAUUCAGGCAGCACCAGUAAUGGUGGUUGUGCUAGUGGUAGCUUCAAAGAAGCUCAAAUAGUAUUCUACGAAUCGAAAAUUCAUCCGAAAGAAUCAUCAUCAAAACUAGCCCCCCUUUCUGUCUUGCAAACUUCACAAGUCACAAAAACCUCACAAGAUGAGGAAAUGCCACACGUCGUCGUGGAAGAGAACCCAAACGCUAAAUUAAAGCUAUCAAUCGCUAUCAAACAACCCAAGUUAAAAGAGGUAAGUGGAUUUAUGAUCUUUUCCAGAGCUCGUGGUAUUAUUCAUACUAUCCUCCACUUGAUGUUAGUACAUAUAAAAAAUCAAGGCUGCGGCUGAUGCUUCUGGUGUUGAAACGGAGGCACAAGUUAAAGAAGCAGCAGUAUCAUCAUCUCGGCUUGACUGCUGUUUCUGUGAUGCUGACAUUGUGGUGACGUCGAUGGUUUUCUUCGAGGGGACAAUUUGUUUUUUAAUUUUUAUUACUUGCACUUUCAUUACUUGCACUCUCAUGCUUCGAACGAACAAUACAAAAUUGCAACAAAAAAAAUUAAUGAGUGCGUUCAACCAGCCAACAUAAAAGCUAUCGGAUAGCUUUUUGUUGUUGUAAGCAAAGCGAGAGGAUUUAUUUUGAAUAAAAAAUAUGAUGUUUUGUUAUUAUAAUUCACAUAAAAGUAUUCUCAAAUUUGUUGGUGGUUGACAGUUUAACAAUAACUAACAAUAAAUCAUUCCUAUAUUUGUUAAAAAACCCAACAAAAUUCUAGCAUGACAAUUCAACAGUAUUUUUUUGGCAUAAAAACAAUAGUUAACUAUUGUUGAAAAAAUAACGUACCUCCAAUAGGUGAUUGAACGCACCCAUUAAUACUAUUUAAACUUCAAAUUCGCCAAACUUCCUUUUUUGUUUGCUUUUUGUUGAUGCUGCUGUUUUGCAAAAUCUAAAAUUUAAACUCUUGAAACUUCCACAAAGCGAAUGCAAGCUCACUCAGGUGCUACUCGGCAGACUGUUAUCCCACCACCAAUGAACCAGAUUCAUCACAUUCUACAAAACCCACACAUGCAUAUGAGUGGACAGACACCGCACCUUUGGAUCCUUUUGUGGCAUAUAGAAAUAGAUCGACACCAGUCGCUGCCCAUCAAACUACAAGAACUAAAGGAGUUCAAGGAAAAAGCAGCAGCAAUUCCAACGGAAAUAAAAAAAAGAAAAAAGACGGAGACAAGAAAACUGCUGCUGCAAAUAAACCAUCGACAAGGGUCACCCAAUCUCGAGUACCCGAAUCUCGAGUACCCCAAUCGCUGGUAAUCGAUCGACACGUAAAUCUGCAUGGGAGCGCCCUGAAGAUCUUCAUAACUUCCCAGUUUUGGAUCACAAUACUUACAUACAUAUAUGACUCAGUAAAAAAUGCAAAAAGAAAAGCACCGAGGAAAUGAAAGAGUUGUUGAAGAAAUCGCGCCAACAGAGUGAACUGUUGAAAGUUGAAAGCCAAAUUCAGGUUUCGCAAUUACCCGUACCACUAUCGCAUACCCGUCCGUUGUGGCCAAGCCUUAAAUCUCGUCGAAAACUUUGCAAACUUAAAUGAUUCACAUUAAAAAAACAAAAACACUUACAAUCUAAACUUGACAUUGUGGAGCGUAUUUAAACGCCCAACCUGAAAACCACGCAAAAGCUUGAUCGUGUUACAGGGAUAGUUGCAUCUGAAUUUAGGAGUUUAAAAAUGUUCUCUGAAAAGAAAGCAAUGGCCGCAUUUGAAAAAGUUAAAAAUGAACUUUCGAAAAAUAUUCGAUUUUGCCAUCACGUUUCCAAGGCCAAGAAAUAAAGACGCACAGGCCUAUCUAAGAACCUCAUUUGGAUGGAAUAAGUUAUAAUUAUUUUGCAACAAGAAAACGUUUUCAGUCAAUGAGUAAUUUGAGUGGUGGUGAGAAAACUAUUGCUGCUUUUUCUAUGCAUACUUUACAACCUGGCCCAUUUUUGUAACAUCUAUAAACGAGGUCACAUCACAAUGAACCAUCAAACUAUCGUCAUUUCGCUCAAAGAGAAGUUUUAUGUGCAUACUGUUGCUUUGUUUGGAAUUUCACCAGCUGCCUCUUAAUAUUGGCUAAAUGACACGUACAUGGACAUAACAAUACCGUUGCCAAUUAAUUCCAAUCCUGGCAUGGUGUUCCCUCCCAGAAAAUUCACCACCGUUCAUGAUGUAGCUCGAUUUGCAGCACGCAUAAUUGAAGGAAUAAUGCAGCACAAAGAAAUGCUUGACACUGGCAACUUACAACAAGAACGUGCAACAUCACGUGAAAAAAAAUCAACCUCUGUGCAUGGCACAAUACUAUCGAUUACUUGGUUCAUGCCGCAGACCAGGUAUUGAACGUGAUUCCUAACACUUGUCACAACCAAAUGCAGAUCCAGAUAUCAUUGUAUUUUGUCGGAAUCAAAUUUACUGUGUUAAGCACCACACAGUGCCAGCGAUCGUGACAAACUCUCCGAGAGAUAAAUAGCUUCACAGAUUCUAUUUGUUCUCAAUGAUGCGCCAUGUUUGCCGGCCAAGCCACCACCAAUUACUCUAUUAACGGCUGAACCAAUAUCACGUUUGGCACUAGAUCGUGCCACCAACGAAAUAUUGACCUUAUUGAAAAGGCUGUCAUAGUUUUGGCAUUGGAUGAACCUCUGGUGGAAACUUUUAAUGCAAGACAGCAUUCUCCUUCGGAGGGCAUUGCUGUUGUUCAGUUGCUGGAGAAAAUCUAUAAAAAUAUACUUGCAAUGGGCGACGCUGAUGAUAGUGUGCCAAAACAUCAUUUGCCUCCGCCGGAACGACUUGAAUGGGAGUUGGCCUCACAAAUUUCACAGCGGAUGUCACAGCUGCCAUUACUGUCGAUAGGCAACAGCUGAUUCGCAAGAAAACUACAAAAGCAUCCCGAAACUAUUGCAGCACUAUGCCAGAUUGUUGUGUCCUCAAAGGAACCUAUAAUUUCCGUCAACGUUCGGAGGUUUUGUUAAAACAGCUUUUGGGAAAACAGCGCGAUUGGAAAGAUUAAACAAGGAAUGACCAAUGCACUUAUGCAGGAGCACAAAAAAUCCGUUCGCAAUGUCAUUACGCAGUUUAUUGGUUUAUUUGUUUCGCCAUGAAGCUGAAAAGAAGGGAUAAUGGAUUCAAGAGGUCUUGCAAUUUGUUUAGCUGAUCCAAGACAAAGUGAAUUGGGUGCUUCAUUAACCGAUGUAGCACUAGAACAGUUUGUCGCACACAUGGAAUCUAUUGUUAAAAUGUUUGCUGCUGCGAUAACUGCUACCGAAACCUGUCUUAAUUUGAAUCUAUAAAAUGCUUAUGGGUAUCACCUAUUUGGUGCUAUUAGACACAAAACUGCUGAAUUGAUUUACUAGAAGCCGAUUGCUACGGUUAUUAACUCUCUCCAAGCUUUUCUCGUCCAGGACACUGAUAAGAUUUCAUUUAAGCUGUUGCAAUUUUGGAGAGCGUGGCCGACAUGGCAUUUGCAACAAAUAUUUGGAAACUCUAUUGAAUAUUUUAAAAUGGUGGAGAUGAAAAAUAUGCCGCUGAUACCACCUUUACUGGAAAGGAGAAUAACAUGCUUGUUUCUUGGAGGAAACAUCAAGUGUAGUGUACUUUCUUAUCCAGAACAUUUCCUGGUGUAAUGGUCAAGUUGAGCAUGAAGUUGAUUUUGUACAGAAAGCAGCUCGUUAUCACUCGUUUAGUUCGUAGAGACUGCAAUCUUCCAAAUAAGACAAAAUCUGAAGCCUUUCUUCACGAAUUCUCAGCCCAAUGCAAGUGAACUGACAACAGUAUAUGAUUCUGCUCGAAAAUUAUUUUGGACAAUGAACCAGGUCAAGGAUGUGCUGGUAAA